UACGUAGGUGGCAAGCGUUGUCCGGAUUUACUGGGCGUAAAGGGCGCGUAGGCGGCCCGCUAAGUCGAACGUGAAAUCCCCGAGCUCAACUCGGGAACUGCGCCCGAUACUGGCGGGCUUGAAUCCGGGAGAGGGAUGCGGAAUUCCAGGUGUAGCGGUGAAAUGCGUAGAUAUCUGGAGGAACACCGGUGGCGAAGGCGGCAUCCUGGACCGGCAUUGACGCUGAGGCGCGAAAGCUAGGGGAGCAAACAGG
rnacentral:rRNA from 1 species